rnacentral:rRNA from 1 species
UACAGAGGUCCCAAGCGUUGUUCGGAUUCACUGGGCGUAAAGGGUGCGUAGGUGGCAUGGUAAGUUUGAUGUGAAAUCUCCGGGCUUAACCCGGAAAUGGCAUUGAAUACUACUGUGCUGGAGGUUUGGAGGGGGGACUGGAAUUCUCGGUGUAGCAGUGAAAUGCGUAGAUAUCGAGAGGAACACCAGUGGCGAAGGCGAGUCCCUGGACAACAACUGACACUGAGGCACGAAAGCUAGGGGAGCAAACAGG